rnacentral:piRNA from 1 species
UCACGCAGACCAGAGAAGCUGGUGGC